AACGAACGCUGGCGGCAGGCUUAACACAUGCAAGUCGAACGCAUGCCUUCGGGCAUGAGUGGCAGACGGGUGAGGAACGCGUGGGAACCUACCCCUUGGUACGGGAUAGCUCCGGGAAACUGGAGAUAAUACCGUAUGUGUCCUGAGGGACAAAGAUUCAUCGCCAAGGGAUGGGCCCGCGUCGGAUUAGCUAGGUGGUGGGGUAACGGCCUACCAAGGCGACGAUCCGUAGCUGGUCUAAGAGGAUGAUCAGCCACAUUGGGACUGAGACACGGCCCAAACUCCUACGGGAGGCAGCAGUGGGGAAUAUUGGACAAUGGGCGCAAGCCUGAUCCAGCCAUGCCGCGUGAGUGAUGAAGGCCCUAGGGUUGUAAAGCUCUUUCACCGGUGACGAUAAUGACGGUAACCGGAGAAGAAGCCCCGGCUAACUUCGUG
rnacentral:rRNA from 1 species